GCGUGAGGAAAAAUAAAGGUAAUGCAUGCUGGGCUGAAUAUCUAGGUUCUGGGUUGAUAGGUGCAGCAAACCACCAUGGCACACAUUUACCUAUGUAACAAACCUGCACAUCCUGCACAUGUAUCCCAGAAAUUAAAAUAAAA